rnacentral:lncRNA from 1 species
AGAGUUCGAGCGAUCCCGGGUGUUCGAAAGAUCCGAGUUCGAGCCAUUGAAGUUCAACUCCUACCCUGCACUGCACUCCCGGUUGUGGAUGAUAAGGUAACAAGGUACAGUUACCUGCCCUUCGUUACCCCAGCUAAAGGAGGUGUAUCCGAGAGAAAAGAGGUCCCUCAUUUCAUGAUGGAUUUGAUUAAUAAAUUUGCAGUAUAAAAUCCAUAGAAUGAAUUCAAUACAUUGUACACUCAAAGUGGACACCAUAUAAUGUGUUGGUAUGAAACCUGGCCUGGAAUUACAACAAAAAUUACUCUCACUCAACACUCGAAUUUGGUUUAAACAUAUUUUAUUUUGCAAUAUUUUUACAACAUGAUUACAAAUAUACAAUAAAGGAUUGGACAGGAAGCUUUAUAAGCUUAAGGUUGUCCUCUCCCUUUUACAACAAUGUGCAUAUAUAGUUCAUGGCAAUAGAAACCUUC